rnacentral:tRNA from 1 species
GCGCCAUUAGCUCAGCUGGUAGAGCAGCUGACUCUUAAUCAGCGGGUCGGAGGUUCGAUCCCUCCAUGGCGCA